rnacentral:rRNA from 1 species
GACGAACGCUGGCGGCGUGCUUAACACAUGCAAGUCGAGCGGAAAGGCCCUUUCGGGGGUACUCGAGCGGCGAACGGGUGAGUAACACGUGAGUAAUCUGCCUCUGGCUUCGGGAUAGCCACCGGAAACGGUGAUUAAUACCGGAUACGACACAUCACUGCAUGGUGGGGGUGUGGAAAGUUUUUGCGGCCAGGGAUGUGCUCGCGGCCUAACAGCUUGUUGGUGGGGUAAUGGCCUACCAAGGCUUCGACGGGUAGCCGGCCUGGGAGGGUGACCGGCCACACUGGGACUGAGACACGGCCCAGACUCCUACGGGAGGCAGCAGUGGGGAAUAUUGGACAAUGGGCGGAAGCCUGAUCCAGCAACGCCGCGUGAGGGAUGACGGCCUUCGGGUUGUAAACCUCUUUCAGCACAGACGAGGCGCAAGUGACGGUAUGUGCAGAAGAAGGACCGGCCAACUACGUGCCAGCCGCCGCCGUAAUAC